rnacentral:rRNA from 1 species
UUAAUUCGAUGAUACGCGAGGAACCUUACCCGGGCUUGAACUGCAGCGGAACGACCGGGAGACCGGAAGGCCAGCAAUGGCCGCUGCAGAGGUGCUGCAUGGUUGUCGUCAGCUCGUGCCGUGAGGUGUCGGGUCAAGUCCCAUAACGAGCGCAACCCCUGCGUCCAGUUGCCAGCGAUCCGGUCGGGCACUCUGGACGGACUGCCCGCGCAAGCGGAGAGGAAGGCGGGGAUGACGUCAAAUCAGCACGGCCCUUACGUCCGGGGCGACACACGUGCUACAAUGGCCGGCACAGAGGGAAGCCACCUGGCGACAGGGAGCGGAUCCCGAAAGUCGGUCACAGUCCGGAUCGGGGGCUGCAACCCGCCCCCGUGAAGCUGGAAUCGCUAGUAAUCGCGCAUCAGCCAUGGCGCGGUGAAUACGUUCCCGGGCCUUGUACACACCGCCCGUCAAGCCAUGGGAGCCGCGGGCGCCUGAAGUCGGGGAUGACCCGCCUAGGGCGAACGUGGUGACUGGGGCU